CUACUACUACUACUACUAAUACCACAACUACGAGAGGUUAACACACACACACACACGGGCAUAAACAUUGGAAAAGGUCAUCACAGUGAUCUGACUCGUGAAACAACCUGAGGCACUGAAGUUAAAAGGUGGUAUUUGGACCAGUUUAACUAUUGGUUGAGCCACGUCAGCCGCCAGCACUGGACGUUUCUGCUGUCAGCCAAAACACUGCCUCUGACGCUCCGCCACUAAGGUGAACCAGAGAUGUUGGGGGAGAAGGCCAGAAGCGUGUCGGUGGAGCGGGUCUGGUGGUGGGUGUACGGGCGUCCCCUGGGUAGAUGGGCGUACUUGAUGCUGUUGUUGAUGCUGCACUCCCACCCACCACACACAGCUGCACAGUACACGGACUCCCCCGCGCCCACAGAACGUGGGUGGGCG